AGUAUUGCCUGGAAGGGUAUAGUAAAAGCUAUGAAAACUCCAAGAUUAAGAAAACCAAAACGAAAUAGAAAAAGUAAAUCAAGGACCACAGAAAUAACAACGGAACUGAACACGCAAUUGUUCACUGAAAUUGACAUUUUUCCGAAAACUGAAUCGUAUAAAAUGAAGCUAACCAUUCCCAUAUUGCAUCAGCCGGAAUGGAAAUCGAUGCUACAUUGGAGACACCUUCAACGACCGAAUCUUAUAGAAACGGCAAAAACCUUGGAACAAAAAGGAAACGUGAAAAUAAACGGAAUAUUCCAAUAUGAAGGUUUUAGUCCCGAUAAACAAAGGGCUAUUGAAGAACACGACGAAAACGAGUUUGGUAUUUUGUAUUUCAUAUAGUGAAAAAUUUUGUACGAAUUUAAUUUCAAUGCUAUGUGUAUAUUUAUUAUUAAAAAAUGGAGCAU